GGGAACGUGGCGGCAGGCCUAACCAUGCAAGUCGAGCGGAUGAAGGUGAGCUUGCUCCUGGUUUUAGCGGCGGACGGGUGAGUAAUGCCUAGGAAUCUGCCUGGUAGUGGGGGACAACGUUUCGAAAGGAACGCUAAUACCGCAUACGUCCUACGGGAGAAAGUGGGGGAUCUUCGGACCUUGCGCUAUUAGAUGAGCCUAAGUCGGAUUAGCUAGUUGGUGAAGCUAAAGGCUCAACAACGGCGACGAUCCGUAACUGGUCUGAGAGGAUGAUCCGCCACACUGGAACUGAGACACGGUCCAGACUCCUACGGAAGGCAGCAGUGGGGAAUAUUGGACAAUCGGCGAAAGCCUGAUCCAGCCAUGCCGCGUGUGUGAAGAAGCUCUUACUGAUGGUAAAGCACUUUAAGUAGGGAGGAAGGGCACAGUUAGUUAAUACCUAUGCUGUGUUGACCUUACCUAGCAGAAUAAACACCCGCUAACUUCGUGGCCAGCAACCCCGGUAAUACCAAAGGGGGAAGCGUUAAUCCGAAUUUACUGGGCGUUAAACCCCGCGUAAGUCGGUCGUUUAAUUAAGUCAGAUGUGAAAAUCCCCGAGCUCAACCUGGGAACUGCAUCUCAAUACCGGCGAGCCUAAAGUAUGGCGAGAGGAUGGUGGAAUUUCAUGUGGUAGCGGUGAAAUGCCUAGAUAUUCUAGGAAGGAACACCAGAUGGCGAACGCGACCACUCUGGGCCUAAUACUGACACUGAAGUGCGCAAAACCUGGGGAACAAACAAGAAUAGAUACCCCGGUAAUCCACGCCGUAAACCAUGUCCACUAGCCGUUGGGAGCCUUGAGAUCUUAGUGGCCCACCUAACCCAAUAAAUUAAACCGCCUGGGGAGGUACGGCCCCAAGGAUAAAACUCAAAUGGAAAUGACGGGGGCCCGCCACAACCGGGGGAGCAUGUGGGUUUAAUUCCAAGCACACGCGCAAAAACACUUACCACUGCCCUUUGACAUGUCACAAAAACCUUCCCAAAAAUGGGAUGUGGGGCGCUUCGGGAACUCUGAAACACAGGUGACCGCAUUGGCUGUGCGUCCAACUCCUGUGCGUGAGAAAGUGUGGGUAUAAGUCCCGCAACCAGACGCAACCCUCUGUUCCUUACUUACCAGCAACGUUAAGUGUGGGGGCAUCUUUAAGGAGAUCUGCCCGUGACAAACCGGAAAGAAACUGCCCGAUAACACCAAGGGUCAUCAUGGCCCCUUACGCGCGCAGGGGCUUUACACACGGGCCACAAUGUGGCGGGGGGGUACAAAGGGGGUGUGCCAGUCCCCGGCGAGGUGUGGGAAGCCUAAUCUCUCUCUAUAUAAAACGACCGUAGUCCGCAACGCACUCUGCAACUUACGACUGCGUGAAGUCGGAAUCGCUAGUAAUCGUGAAUCAGAAUGUCACGGUGAAUACGUUCCCGGGCCUUGUACACACCGCCCGUCACACCAUGGGAGUUGUGGUUGCAUCCAGAAGUAGCUAAGCUCUAACUCGUCUACAAGAGGACGGUACCACGGAGGAUCCAUGUUG
rnacentral:rRNA from 2 species